GACGAACGCUGGCGGCGUGCCUAAUACAUGCAAGUAGAACGCUGAAGGAGGAGCUUGCUCUUCUGGAUGAGUUGCGAACGGGUGAGUAACGCGUAGGUAACCUGCCUGGUAGCGGGGGAUAACUAUUGGAAACGAUAGCUAAUACCGCAUAACAGUAGAUGUUGCAUGACAUUUACUUAAAAGGUGCAAUUGCAUCACUACCAGAUGGACCUGCGUUGUAUUAGCUAGUUGGUGGGGUAACGGCUCACCAAGGCGACGAUACAUAGCCGACCUGAGAGGGUGAUCGGCCACACUGGGACUGAGACACGGCCCAGACUCCUACGGGAGGCAGCAGUAGGGAAUCCUCGGCAAUGGACGGAAGUCUGACCGAGCAACGCCGCGUGAGUGAAGAAGGUUUUCGGAUCGUAAAGCUCUGUUGUAAGAGAAGAACGAGUGUGAGAGUGGAAAGUUCACACUGUGACGGUAUCUUACCAGAAAGGGACGGCUAACUACGUG
rnacentral:rRNA from 1 species